CAUAGUGGAUUCUUAGGGCUCGACGUCUGCACCAGCUCCGAUUAUGUCAAACAACCAUGGCGUUUCUGAAAGGAUCUGUGAGUCAGCUCUUCGUAUUGGAUCUAUGUGUCGUUCACCAUUCCCGUUGUUACGCUUGCACCUGAUCUCCUCUGAUCCCUUUCGCAAUGAAGUCCUUCAUCACCAUUAACAGUGUUCUUUAAUCCUUGGACCCACAUCAACCACGAUUGAUCAUUCAAUGCGUCUUUAUCUCCUUCACAGUCUGUGGAACUCCGCCUUUAAAAAAGCCAAUCUUCUUCCCACGAAUGUCAUCCUCACUGUUCCUUUCAAGAAAAACUUCAUUUCAGUAAUGUGGCAUCCAAAGGUGUGCUUAAUAUUCUUGAGUUUCUCACUGAUGAUUUCUCUGUCAUGGAUGUGAUCGGAAUCUCUGGCAAAGUCCUUUUAUAUGCUAUUGGUUCUUCUCAGACAAAAACAUGCAGCUCUGAAUUGGACUGUGAGGCAUGGAAAUCAGUUGUUUGUGAGGUAGUAAUCAGAGAGGAGAACGUGUUGAAAACAAGUAACGCUGUUUUGCUGUCCGUUUGCUUCGGUUCCGAGAAGCUAUAAAUAUUUGGCGCGGCGGUGAGCUAAUUGAAAUCGACAUGCUCCUCCUGGACGCCAAGGUAAUUCUGGCUUGAUUACAUUGUUUUUCUGUUUUGUUAAUCACGCCUCGCGUUGUUCAUGUAUAGAUUAUGAAACUUUCAAAUCUAAUAGUUCUUCACCGGAGAUCAAUUUAUACAUGUCUCCGUCAUAAAAAUUAUUCCCCAGGAGUUUUUGUUAUCUUAAUAUAAUCAUUGUUGUAACAGGAUUCCCCAGAAAUUUUCGUUAAGAGCUACUUUUACAAGUACUGAUCGUUUAUAUUUUAUUACAUCAUUAUACAUCCUGUAAAAUUAUAUAUGGAACAUACUCUCACAUGAAACUCUUGCAGGAUACUCUCUAUCAUUGCAGGUGGUUGGUCACAAAUAACACUGAAACUACAUCAGCAGAUUCAUUGCUGAGAGGCUAUGUCAAGGUUGAGUUGCUGACAAUAGCUGAGCUAGCAAAAUUAUCAUCACAACCGAGCCUCGGGUUCACUUGCGACCUUUAAUAGUUUGUCUCCACCAUCAUUCUAAGCUCUGUUUAUGAUUGCAACAUUUAUUAUUGUAGAAAAUAUAACUUAGUUGCACUGGGAAAGUCACCUGUAUCAAGGCAAAAAAUGUAUGGUGCUACAUAUCUUGCUCCAAGUGUACAAGGAAACUUCAGAGGAGUGCCUCAUCGUUUGCAUAUAUAUUCUGCAAUCAGACUAAUGUCGUUAGUGUUUUCAGGUAUUGUGUGGAGAUCAUUGUUGUUGACGACCUGGACGAAGCUGUUUCGUUAAGUUUCUAUAGUGAAAUAACAAAGCUCACCAGUAUAUGGGCUGCUGAUGCUGUUCAUCUGCUGGAUUAUGAUCACUGAGGUUUACGAUAGGAUAGGGAAGGACACAAUACUCAUUUAGGUUUAUGAGAGGAUAACGGAGGACAUGUAUUUUGAUUUAAGAAAACUCUACGAAACUCUAUCCAAAAUGGUCGUUGAGAUUCCUCAACUGCAUCAAUACUCAUCUGAAGUUUGCUGAAGAGGAAAUGAAGUAGAACAAUUGUUUUCUUCUUCUUUGAGAUUUCUUUUUUGCGUUGAAUCUCUAAUAAACAACAGAAAUGAUUUUAUUCAACAAUAAACUGUUUAACAUCA